rnacentral:rRNA from 1 species
UCCGUAGGCGGGCAAUUAAGUCAGAGGUGAAAUCCCACAGCUCAACUGUGGAACUGCCUUUGAUACUGGUUGUCUUGUGUUACAGUGAAGUAGAUAGAAUAUGUAGUGUAGCGGUGAAAUGCAUAGAUAUUACAUAGAAUACCGAUUGCGUAGGCAGUCUACUAACUGUAUACUGACGCUAAUGGACGAAAGCGUGGGGAGCGAACAGGAUUAGAUACCCUGGUAGUCC